AGAAGUGGCUGUUGAAUCAAUUCAAGCAGUACCAUGCAUGAAAAGUAACAAUUCAUCCAGCAUUCUUCCCCAGGUGACAGAAGAAAAUACAGUGCUCAGUUGCUAACAUCGCCCCAGAUGACAUCAGCUCUGCUUUUUCCAGUGGUCAUCUUCCAGUGCAGCUAUCUAAACGACAGCCAGAGGAGUCAAGAGCAUUAGAUGAAGCAGAUCAAAACAGACAGCAACACGUGCCAGCAUCCACCAGGAAGGGGACAUCCUGCAACAAGAAGCCACAAAGUAUGUAAAACAAUGUGCUUCAGAUUAGACUUUCCUAAAUGCCCUUCAUCACCGCAGUGCUGAAUGUUCUAGCUGGCAGCUCAUCUUGAGCUCUCUUUGAAAUUCAAGUGAUGGACAUGAUCCUUAAAUAUGGGACUGAUCAUAAAACCCAAAGCAAACCUAUUGCUCACCUUCAAUACAUUUUGAUCAAGUGCCAGAAAAGAGCAAAAGUUAUCUGUAGAAUAGGAAUAUAAAUCUGUAGGUUUCACCAAAUUUCCAUUUGUAGAAUUUUCUGGGCAAGGCCAAAUAAAUAGGGCAAUAGUUUGGGUUUUUUUCUUGGAUGUUCAUUUUUUUGGUUACAGAUAUACAGUAAUUUAUAGUUGUAUUUUUUAGCACUGCAGGUGAUAGCCAGGAGAGUUCUGAACUACUUAGUUUUGAACAAUUUUCCAAUUUUUCUUUGUCAAGAGUUAAGAAAAUUUAUAUUAUUCCAUUCUAUCAAAGAUACAGGUAAAUGAGACACAAUUGUGUACCAGAAAUGGUGGGAAAAGAAACAGGUAACUGAUGCAAUUAAUAUAUUUUGUAAUAGUGUACUGGGUUACAAAUUAUUUUGACUGCGUGAUUAAAAAAAAAAACAACCACAGGCUGCAAAGAUAAAAAUACAACACCACAAUUUCAGGGACUUCACAGAUGUUCAGUGUACAUACUGUUGCAUACAUUUUUAAGGAAAGCACAUGCCUGUUCCCAACCAGCUAAAAUACAGUCCAAACAAAAUGGCAAUUAAAAGGCAACAGAGAGAGAACACUCAUGGAGGGAAAAACCACAAUCAUAAUAAUCACCAGAAGGCCAAUUUACCACCCUUCCUGCAGAGAACUGCAUAUAUAAUGUGACCAUAGUUCAGAAUAUGAAGAAACAAGAAACAUU